CCUUCUGCAGAAAGUUCAGAAUAAUGUGAGAGAGACUAUAGUUUUCUGUGUAGAAGUUGACACACUAGAGCGCACAAACAAUCACAAUAAUCAAACUUUGAUGAAACUCCUGGAGAAAAUCUUGUUCCUCUCACUGUGGAAAUGUAAAAGAAGGAUUAUUGGUGCAGAGAGACAUCCAACAUCUGAACUUAUAUAAUAAUAAAAAGCAUGUGUUCAUCGAGGAAGAGAUGAGUAUCACUUCUUAGAAACACCACUUAUCUCGCUCAGUGACGCAGGCUGCGGCUGAGUCAGCUCGAGCCCCCCGACUUCAAAGAGUCUGGCUCUUUAACGAAAGAUUAAAUGUUUGAAAUCGUGGCUAAUAAUCAGCUUUAUUCCCUCGGUACAAAAUGUUCAUUCACAAUCUGUCUGUGUACACGCUGAUUUACUCAUCAUCACACAAUCUGUGAGAAUCAAGAGCCAAAAAAUUGAGGUCAGGCGCCGAGAAAACAGCUCUGUGCGUUUAAAGGUGAAGCUUACGGACAUUUCCUCCACGUCGAAAUCAAACUGUGGUGCGGCGAACGUCUUUAUCCGCCGUAUCUGACGCCUCCUCCACGCUCAGACGUGUCGGGCUGCAGGUUUACGGAUGAAGAGGUCGAGAAUGAGUCAAAGAUUGCUUGUCAAUAACACCUCUGACACUCAUCUGUUAGUGCCGAUGUUGUUUAAACGAGCCGAAUGAAAUCAUCAGUUUACACACGCAAACACAUAAACACAUUAAUUUUCCGAGGAGUUAAUGAGAGCUACUUUAACAUGAAAUUAAUGAAGGUAAACACACACCUGCAGAGAGCAAGGCUGCAACAAACACAAGCUCCAGCACACACAUAUACACACACACAAACACACACUGGGAGUCAUAAAGUGGCUUCUCUCUCUGACAGCGUUCGUGUCCUUUCCUUUUAUUUCCAACAUUAAAUUAAAAGCCUGCAAAGAAAAAGCACAAUGCUGCCUUCACUGGCUUGUCAUAAAAACAUUCAAACGCUCAGAAAUUGUUGCAUUUUCCUGGUUUUUUUUUCACCCUUUGAUGCCUCUGCACUCGGCGUCUAUCACCUCUUGUCUCCUCCUGCGCUCUCCAGACUCUCACUCUCACCUCUCAGCGACCCAUGCAAGCUUUUCUAUUCUCGCCCACCAUCACAGCCGACUGGAGUAAAAAGAACAGGCUCUUUUCUCUCUUUUCUCUCUUUGGCUGCCUUUCCUCCUCUCUCUGUCUGCACGCCUCCGAAUAAUAUCCUCUGUUAUAAAAACAACACGUUUCUUUAUCAUAUCUGGAGCAUCAACUCUUGGGAAAACAUGUUUUUAUUUUACAGGAGGAGAUGUAAUCACAUGCAGAAAGGAAAAUCUGCAGCACGAGCACCGGAGGGAAAGGAAAAAUAGAGUUUCAAUUUUUUGAUUGUUAAAAUCAUGUGUAAGUCUUACCCUGCAUUAUUUCAACAUAUUUAACUGCAUAGAAACAGAGCUGUCAGUGUGAAUGAAUGAAUAGUGAUACUAUGUAUACUAGUAUACUGUGUUAGAAAAUUCCAAUUUUAGCGCAAAAAAACCCUC
rnacentral:lncRNA from 1 species